rnacentral:lncRNA from 1 species
CUCUUUCCGUGGCCUGAUGUCUCAGGAGGAGGAGGAAGGAUGUUCUUGCAGCCAGGCCAGGAGGAAAGUCCAAGGCUGUGAAGUCACUGCUCAGGUCACCAGUGAACCUUCCAGUAGAAGGGGAGAAGGCGAAGGGGUUGCCCUUCCUUGCCUGCAAUAGACAAUGAGGACGAUCAAAGACAAGGAUUGUUCUCUGCCCUGUACUUGAAUUUGUCCUUUUCCUUUCGGUCUUAGAGCAUGUUAGCCAGUGCCCAGCAUGGAGCUGGGUGGGUCCCGAGCAUGUGGGUAUGCUGGCGCAGUGCCAUAGAGCUGUGAGAUCUGCCCAUGUGGCAGCCCCCUGUUGGAGGAGGUACAGUACCCACAGCCUUUUUCCCUCUUCUGGCCACCGGAGCUGGGUUCUCGGGUGUAUGUGCCCCCUCACCAAGGUCCCAUCCUUGUUGAGAGCAGGGAUGACCCACUUGCUUAGCUAGGGAGGUUGAGGAUUUCCUCAAGGCUGUCCUGUGACUAUAGAAGGGAGGGGGCUGAGCCUUCAGCCUCUGGACUUCUAAACCAGGGGCCGGUGGCAUUCGGUGUGUGUACAUGCUUUGACCGGUCUUGGGUAUGGGAACAACAUAGAUCCUUUGGCCGCAAAAGCACUUUACUCACCUGCAAAGUAAUUCUACUUCCAUGAUCUCAUUGAAUCCUAUUAACAACCCAGUAAGGAAGAUGAUACAAAUGUCAUUUCCCACCUUACAGCAGAGGAAAUGGAAGCCCCAAGAGGUUAUGUGAUGGGUCCAAGGUCACGCAGCCCUCUACUUCCAAUCUGCCGAUUUUUCUCCUCUGCCAGAAGGACUGACUUCUUCAGGGAAAGCUUCGGGAAUGGGGUUGAUCUGGACCUGCACUCUGCAGGUCAGAGGGCUGUGGAUUAAUACCAGCAAGCAGGCCUGUCUAGUCUGGGCCUUCCCUUCCCUCUGCACUCAGGAUCAGCAAGGCUCCUACCUGUUGGGUGUCGAGAACAGGGUUGUCAAAUAGAUGGGGAAUUUCUGUUUUUGAACUGUCUGUCUUCCAAACUACCUAAAGUACGGGAAUGAGGCCCAGCUCUGUCUAGGUGGGGACUGUCAGAGACCCUCUGAGGUUGGAAGCUGUACUGACAUACCUGCUUUCAACCUAAAUUCUGCCAACACUGCUGAAUUCAACUGUAGUCAAAGCAGAGUCCUGGGAUUUGUGAUUGCAUAUGGUUAGACACAUACUUCAAUUUGAACCCAGCACUGCUGUUUUUGUUGCGUGAGCUUGGAUAAGUUACUGAGCCUUUCUGAGCCUCAGCUUCCUCAUUUGUGAAAUGGAGAUGCAAUGCCAUCUUACAGGGUGAGUGCAUGGUCACGAAGAGUUAGUAUUUAUUAUUAUUUUCAUUAUUAUUAUUAUUUGAGACAGUAUCUCGCUCUGUUGCCCAGGGUGAAAUGCAGUGGUGUGAUCUCUGCCCACUGCGACCUCUGUCUCCCGGUUCAAGUGAUUCUCCUGCCUCAGCCUCCCGAGUAGCUGGGAUUAUAGGUGCCUGCCACCACACCCGGCUAACUUUUGUAUUUUUAGUAGUGACCGGGUUUCACCAUGUUGGCCAGGCUGGUCUCAAACUCCUGACCUCACGUGAUCUGCCCGCCUUUGCCUCCCAAAGUGCUGGGAUUACAGGUGUUAGCCACCACACCUGGCCAGUAUUUAUUAUUGAGUGCUUACUCUGAGCAGCAGUGCAUAGCAUCUUAUCAUGCAAUCCUUAUAGCAAUUCCACGAGGGGACUAUUAACAUCCCCAUAUUACGAAUGAAGAAGUCAAGGUUU